UCAAGAAAGAAUAUUGUUUUUCAUUUGUUUGCUUGUUUGUUUGUUUGUUUUUAAGUGCAGAGAUGAAGAGAGAUAGUAUAAAGAUCAAAGCAUUUCAUGUUGAAAAUCUUUCUGGUUCUAGACCCCAAAGAGGAAAUUAUAAUAAUAACCAGUAGAGCAACAAAAUUGAAAAAAAAAAAAAAAAGGCUUGGAAAGUGAAAACUUUAUAAAAUAUCUCAGUUGGAUGAAGUAAAGCAGCCUUGUAUCAAACUUCAGAUUAAGUAUGUGGCCUUCCAGAUGGCUUUGAAAAAUGUCAUUAAAUUGAGGAAAACAGCAUGGGGAAAAAGAAACAAAGGAGUAACAGAAAGACUGAAACUUAUGUUCAGAUAAAACCUUUGUCUUUGGUUGCUUGGCGCACAGAACGGACAAUAAACAAGAAUAUUAGGAGCCAACCACAUUUUUCAAGCAAUCAUACAACCAGAAAUAAAAAUCCUAGUCAUCUGUCAAAAAUGUAGAGAAUUAAUAAAACCUGAACACUGAGAAAGCAUUCUUGCCAACAUCUUUUUUGGGACAGGCCACAACGAAUAAUGUGGAAUGAAGAAUAGGGAUAGUUUUGAGUGUGAAGCCAAGGUACAUAAAGGAAAGUGUCCAAGAAGACUCCUCCUGGAAAGAACAUUCAAGAAAUUUUCACCAACUAACUCAAUAACUAUACUUUCCCAACUUAAAAGUUGUUUUGUACUAAAGUCUGCGGUGGGACUCCUCUUCUUCUCCUGCACAAGCUCAAGUGUCUACUAUAGUUCAUGGCACCCCAGACGUUGGUUCUGGUCCUGGCCCUGGCCCAAUGCUACUCUGGAUGCAAAGCAGCCAUUGUGAAGAACAAUGAUGAUGGUACCUCAGAUCAUCCCUACAGCCAUGCUCUCUCUGUGACUGAAAUGGACUGCUAUUCCCACAAAGUGACAGCUGCCAUGAACAAGAAGAAAAUCGUCAAGAGGUCAAAGAUCAAUGUUUUGUGAAAGUUUAUAACUACAAUCACCUCAUGCCCACAGGGUACUCUGUGGACAUCUCCUUAGACAAAACUGUUAUCAUCAAAGGUAUCUUCAGAGACCCAACUUUAUACAUGCUACUUGUCAGUGUUUAUUCAGGAAUCUCUUUGUAGCUAUUGUGAAGGAUUUGCCCAGCAUUAAAACUGAGUAAAGAUAAAUAAGCAUUGCUUUGUAAGUUCAUUACAACCUAAAUUAAAAAUGAAUACAACGG